AAAGCCUGUCAGUGAUGGCUGGUUGAACGAUAUAGGAAUUAGCCGAGGCCAUAGUAGUGGUAACACGAAGGGC
rfam:Lactobacillus casei ATCC 334, complete genome.